CAGCCGCCGCGGUAAUACGUAGGGUGCAAGCGUUAAUCGGAAUUACUGGGCGUAAAGCGUGCGCAGGCGGUUAUAUAAGUCAGAUGUGAAAUCCCCGGGCUCAACCUGGGAACUGCAUUUGAGACUGUAUGGCUAGAGUGUGUCAGAGGGGGGUAGAAUUCCACGUGUAGCAGUGAAAUGCGUAGAUAUGUGGAGGAACACCGAUGGCGAAGGCAGCCCCCUGGGCCAAUACUGACGCUCAUGCACGAAAGCGUGGGGAGCAAACAGGAUUAGAUACCCCGGUAGUCCCUGUCUCUUAUAC
rnacentral:rRNA from 1 species